rnacentral:tRNA from 1 species
GUUGCUGAGAGGUAAAGCGCUUGGUUUCGGAACCGGCGUCCCAGGUUCGAAUCCUGGC